rnacentral:rRNA from 1 species
GGCGGGGAUUAGUGGCGAACCGGGUGAGUAACACGUGGGCAAUCUGCCCUGCACUCUGGGACAAGCCCUGGAAACGGGGUCUAAUACCGGAUAUGACUGUCCAUCGCAUGGUGGAUGGUGUAAAGCUCCGGCGGUGCAGGAUGAGCCCGCGGCCUAUCAGCUUGUUGGUGAGGUAGUGGCUCACCAAGGCGACGACGGGUAGCCGGCCUGAGAGGGCGACCGGCCACACUGGGACUGAGACACGGCCCAGACUCCUACGGGAGGCAGCAGUGGGGAAUAUUGCACAAUGGGCGAAAGCCUGAUGCAGCGACGCCGCGUGAGGGAUGACGGCCUUCGGGUUGUAAACCUCUUUCAGCAGGGAAGAAGCGAAAGUGACGGUACCUGCAGAAGAAGCGCCGGCUAACUACGUGCCAGCAGCCGCGGUAAUACGUAGGGCGCAAGCGUUGUCCGGAAUUAUUGGGCGUAAAGAGCUCGUAGGCGGCUUGUCACGUCGGUUGUGAAAGCCCGGGGCUUAACCCCGGGUCUGCAGUCGAUACGGGCAGGCUAGAGUUCGGUAGGGGAGAUCGGAAUUCCUGGUGUAGCGGUGAAAUGCGCAGAUAUCAGGAGGAACACCGGUGGCGAAGGCGGAUCUCUGGGCCGAUACUGACGCUGAGGAGCGAAAGCGUGGGGAGCGAACAGGAUUAGAUACCCUGGUAGUCCACGCCGUAAACGGUGGCACUAGGUGUGGGCAACAUUCCACGUUGUCCGUGCCGCAGCUA